CUGCGCUCUUUCCACAUCCCUAUGUAUUUUUAAACAAAUAGCAGGUGGGCAUACCCUCUCAUGGCCAUUGGAGGUAACUAAAAACCUCCAUUUGUUUAAAAAUACAUAGGGAUGUGGAAAGAGCGCAGGU
rnacentral:miRNA from 1 species